rnacentral:lncRNA from 1 species
UUUGGGAAGCAGGUAAGUGACAAACGGGAUACCUUUUACUGCCGAAGUCAGUGCGGGGAGCAGUUGGAGGGUCUGUCACCACACAGUCUGCAAGCCAGCGGUGCGGUUUCUGAGGUACAUCUCCGUACCUAUCUCACCGAGCCGCCUCCUGGAAGGAAAAGAAAAUCUGCUCGAGCAUCACUGCGAGACCCCGAGGUUAGGGACCUUCGGGGCAUCUCCUACCGUGGCGGGGGCGAUCCCUCAGAGCCGGCCCCGCCAUUUCGCGCAGCGGCCGGGCCCCUCCGCAAUGCAGGGGCCGCUGCGGGCGCCGGGCUCGGGGCGGGGCGGGCAGCGAGGGGCCGGCCCCGCCGCCGCCUCCACCACCUCCACCACCUCCAUCACCACCUCCACCACCGCCGGGGGGCCCUGAGGGAGCGGGGCCGGGGCCGGGGCGGAGCGGGGGGCGGGCCGCGGGGCUUCGCGGCCCGGCGACAGCCCCGAGAGCGGCGGGGCGGGCUGAGGCGGCGGCGGCGGCGGCGCCUCCUCUCUCAGCCCCUCGGCGUCCCAGUGCCGGCGGCCGCUGUGGCGCUCAGAUUGUGGAAACCUGAACUAACACAUCCUGUGACUGACAACGUGACAACUACACCAAAAGAUUCUCCAGCAUAUAGCCUUGGACCUGACGCACUGAUUGGAAUCGGCUCGUUCACAGAUCGCAAAGGUAGGGCACCUCUGGAGCUGAACGGGGGAUUGAGUCUGAUGCAGGGCGUGGGUUUCCUUUGUGGUUUGUAUUUUUUUUGUGUGUGGGUUUUUUUAACAACAGUUAUUCUUCGUUUGGUCAAACUGUGCUGUGUUGCAGCUUCGCAUAGGUUUUCAGAUUGCUUUGGCAGGCAGUCUGAAGUUAUUUUCGAUGUGCAUGCAUACGCUGCAGCUAUGUAAUUAGUCCUCCCAGCUGCAGCUAGCGGAGGGUGAACAGAAGCCCGCGUGCUCGCCGGUUGCCUUGGGUCGGAACGGGCAGGGUACAGAGCCCUCGCCUUUCCUACCCAACCUGGGGGCUUGCUAACAUUGGUUUCAGCUUCCC